rnacentral:tRNA from 1 species
GAAGAGGUGGCCGAGUGGUUUAAGGCGGUAGACUGUAAAUCUACUCAUGUUGCAUGAUCGUGGGUUCGAAUCCUUACUCUCUUCA